rnacentral:rRNA from 1 species
UACGGGGGGAGCAAGCGUUGUUCGGAUUUACUGGGCGUAAAGGGCGCGUAGGCGGCUUUGCAAGUGACGGGUGAAAUCCCUCGGCUUAACCGAGGAACUGCCUGUCAAACUGCAUGGCUUGAGACCGGGAGAGGUGAGUGGAAUUCCCAGUGUAGCGGUGAAAUGCGUAGAUAUUGGGAGGAACACCAGUGGCGAAGGCGGCUUCCUGGACCGGUUCUGACACUGAGGAGCGAAAGCGUGGGGAGCGAUCCGG